rnacentral:lncRNA from 1 species
UUCUUGCUCGCCCCUCCCUCCCCAGCCUUCCCCCGCGAGCGGACGCGCUAGCGCCUCUGUCUCGCUUUUUCUUAUUUUCUCCCCCUUCCCCCUUCCUUUUCUUUUCUUUUUUCCCCUUCCCCCCUUUCACCAUUUCCCCUCGGAGGCGCUUCCCUCGGGCAGGGGCAGAGCCGGCCUCACCCCGCGCCUCUCCCCGGCCCCCGCCGCCCUAUGGCGAGAGGGCGCCCCCUCCUCACCCGGGCACCAGCGGCAGCGGUCGGAGGAGCGGGACCGGCGGCGGCGGCCUCCGGCCCAGGGUCAUCAUGGAAUUAGUUCGCUGAGUGACCCUUCGGCCGCAGCCGUGCGUCCCGCCCGAGUGCCCGCGCCCGCCGGCCCGGUUUGCCCUCUUCUCCCUCCUCAGUCGGCCCGGCCCUAGUCCCGCGCGCCCCGCCGCCGCGCGCUGAGGAUCAUGAGGUGGUAACGGGCCCCCGGAUGACCCCGCGUCACCACUGUGAGGCCUACAGCUCUGCCGGGGAGGAGGAGGAGGAGGAAGAGGAGGAGAAGGUAGCUACAUCAAGCUGGGUGGCAGGCAGAUCCAAAGGGAUAUCAUGAAGUUUCCAGGACCUUUGGAAAACCAGAGACUGUCUUCCCUGUUGGAAAGGGCAAUCUCCAGGGAAGCCCAGAUGUGGAAGGUGAAUGUACCAAAAAUACCUACAAACCAGAAUGUUUCUCCAUCCCAGAGAGACGAAGUAAUUCAGUGGUUGGCCAAACUCAAAUACCAGUUCAACCUUUAUCCAGAAACAUUUGCUCUGGCAAGCAGUCUUUUGGAUAGGUUUUUAGCUACAGUAAAAGCUCAUCCAAAAUAUUUGAAUUGUAUUGCAAUCAGCUGUUUUUUUCUGGCUGCUAAGACUGUUGAAGAAGAUGAG